GGAAGCAAGUACCAGGAUGGAGCACAGACUGAGGAGCACUGCCCUGGAGGAGCGGAGGAAGAGGAUGCUGGAGAGAUCUAUGCAGGCGACAGAAGUGAAAUGCAUCUUCACCUCAGCAGGCCUUCCUGGGAAGAAUCUGGGAUCAUGGACUGCAUGGCCUGGUGAUAUAGGCAGUCCUUCCUUGGCGUCACUCUUGUGGGCUGCACUUCUCCCCUGGAAAUCUGAGGACCCCACUCCACUGGACAGCCCCAUGCUUACACUGACUACAGUGCAGGAAGGAAUGCUUUGUGGAGCAACUGGAAGAUACCAGAGACAUGGUUUAAUAGCCAACCAUCUACUGACCAGGCUAGCUAUGUCCCAGUGUCUCAUCAGCAGGAAGGGGUCAUUGCCAGUAGUGUGGAUCCUCUGUCAUUCUCAAGAACCAUGAUUGGGACUUGAAUGUGAAACCCGGGAGGGCCCAGGCUCAUGUGUUUGAACACUUGGUCCCCAGCAGGUGGCGCUGUGGAAAGCUGUGGAGCCUUUAGGAAGUGGAAUUUUCUAGAGGAAGUGAGUCGCUGGAGGUGGAGCUUCAGCCCUACUUCCUGUCUGCUGUCUAUUUCCGGACACAGACAGUAUGACCAACUAUCUCCACCUCCUGAUGCCACCCGUGCCUUCCCCGCCAUGAUGGACAGUGUCUCUUCAAACUAAUGGCUAAAGAGGCUGCAACAGAGUUCAAGGGAGGCUGUCUGAGAGGCAGACACAAGAGGCUGAUAGGGUGGAAAAGAGGAUGUCUGGAGAAGAGGGCACUGGGUCAAACAGUGAACUUGCUGGAUGUCUUGUUGGAGACACUCUGCAAUUGCUCCCAACAUGUGCAACUGAACAGCCUGCAAACUUUAUCAGCUCUGGGGUGACGCCUCCAGUCUCAAGGACACAGCUCUGUGGAGGAGCCUUUGAUUGGAACCUGGAACCGGGGCAGCGGUUUAGUGUUAGGGCCACUCUGUGCCAAGUCCAUGUGGGCUUUGCCGCGUUUCGUGGGAGGUGGUGUUUAUAAAGAUUUUGAUAUUCUAAAUCUUGCUCAAGGGCAGGCUCCUUUUGUCUACAACAAAUACGAAUCCAACUGGCGACAUUGCUGAGAACUAGAUGUUUGGGAAGUUCUUCCUAGAUGGGAGUGGAGUUUUCUGGAGGUCCUGUCCUUAAGACAUAAACACACAGAUAUGGCACUUCUGGGCCAGCAGGGGGCGCUCACUUUCCAUCCAAGCUGGCUGACCGCAGAACUAUGAGCCACUUACAUGCUCACUCACCCAGCGUGUGUGUGUGUGUGUGUGUGUGUGUGUGUGUGUGUGUGUGUGUGUGUGUGUGUGUGUGUGUGUGUGUGUGUGUGUGUGAGAGAGAGAGAGAGAGAGAGAGAGAGAGAGAGAGAUUCACUGACCAAAUAUUGUCUCAAAUCUAAGUCACACUGCAGCCCUGAGCCACUGCCUGGCACCCUGCUGAGCAACACAGCAAGAACACUGGGCACUUGCUUAACUCCAGUCCCCAAAGCCUGGGCAGCUCCAGGAAGGGCUGCUGGAGAUGAAGCUGGAGAAUCCUAGUGAGUUCCGGGGGCCCACAGUGGACUCUCCCUGAGGUUUCUCCUGGACAUACAGGAGAAAAGCAUUUUCAAACUUCCAUUUGGAGCUGGAGAGGUAGCUCAGCAGUUAAGAGCACCUGUUGUUGUUCUCACUAUUAUUAUCUCAUAUAUUACAUCCCAACCACAGUUUCCCCUCCCUUUCCUGCCCUGAUUCUCUCCCCACAUCUCCCCUCUCCCCCAGGUCUGUGCCCCCUUUAUUUCCCCUCAGAAAAGAGCAGGCCUCCCGGGGACAUCAACCAAACAUGGCAUAAUAUUCUACAAUGAAACCAGGCACAUACCAUCACAUCAAGGCUGAACGAGACAACCCAGUAGGAGGGAAAGGGUCCUAUAAGUAGGGAAAAGAGUCAGCAAACACCCUGCUCCAAUUGUUAGGUGUUGUGGAAUAUUAUUUUAACUGGGCAAAGAUGUGUUACAUCUGUUUAUGCUGUGGAAUGUUACUUUGACUGUGUAAAGGUGUGUUUCUUUUGUUUAUACUGCAUUUGUUUAAUUAUAUAAAGAUUUGCUACCUCUGUUUCACCUUGCCUGCCAAAGGCACCUGAUUGAUGUAAUAACGAGCUGAACGGCCAAUAGCUAGGCAGGAAAAAGAAUUGGUGGGGCUGGCAGGCAGAGAAUAAAUAGGAGAAAUCUAGGCUCAAGAAAAGGAAGAAUGAGAGAAGAGAGAUGCCCAGGGCCAGAAGCCAGACAAUCACCAAUCAGCCAGACAUAGAAACAGCAAGAAAGUAAGAAAAAAAGUAAAAAGCCCUGGAGCAAAACAGGUUAUUUAAGUUAAAAGAGCUAGCCAGAAAUGUGCUCAGCUAGGCUGAGCAUUCAAAACUAAGACUGAAUCUCCGUGUCAUGAUUUGGGAGCUUCCCCAAAAGAAAAAAGCCUGGUACAAUUAGGAGUACCACAAGAACACCAAGCUACUCAGCCAUAGAUUUUUGCAGAGAACCUAGAUCAGACCCUUACAGGCUCCCUGAUACCUUCGAGCCCCUAUGAGUCCUGGUCAAUUGAUUCUGUGGGUCAUGUUCUCUUGGUGUCCCUGAGUCCUCUGGUUCCUUCAAUCCUCCCCCCCCCCCCCCACCACCAACAGGACUCUCCGAAGGAGCACCUGUUUUUACAAAGGACUCCAGUUCAAUUCCCAGUACCCACAUGGUGGCUUGCAAUCAUCUAUAACUCCAGUUCCAGGAAAUCUGACACCCUCUUAGGCCUCAGUGGACCCUGCACACAUGUGGUACACAGACAUUAUAUAUGGGCAAAACACAUGCAUAAAAUUAACUAAAUAAAUAUGGUUUCUAAUCCUCCAUAUUGCAGAUGGUACUGUUCAGUGUAAUGUGCUUGCCUAGGAUGUCCAAAACUCUGGGUUUGAUCUUUAGCACUAGAGAGAGAGAAAAAAGAAAACCUUCAUUCUCUCUCUCUCUCUCUCUCUCUCUCUCUCUCUCUCUCUCUCUCUCUCUCUCUCUCUCAUUUUUAGGACAGGGUUUCUCUGUGUAGCCCUCACCAUCCUGGAACUUGUUCUGUAGACCAGACUGGCCUCAAACUCACAAAGACCCACCUGUCUCUGCCUCCCGAAAGCUGGGAUAAAAGUCAUGUUGUCACCACUGUCCAGCUUGAAAACCUCCAUUUUAAUUGGAAAAGGGGACAGUUGAGAGCUAGAUGCUAUAUUUGGUGUUUGGAGUCCAGGUCAAAGUUUAUCUAUUCUAGAAGGAUGAUCCAAGGAACUGCUAGGAUAAGAUGGUCCUGGAGUCACGUAAAAGAGCCUGGGUCAUGAGCCUGGGGGUUCCCCCAGAAUCACCCCUCAGUCAAACGUAGCACUGUGAGGCCAUGACAAGGGACCUGACACCUGAGACCACUGUUGGGUGAUUAAAGGUGGGCAGUGGUUGAAGCCACGUCCUGUGAGCGACGAAUGAGUUAGAAGUGAGAUUUCAUCACACAACUGAGAGGAGCACACAACUGAAAUCCUAGGAAGUCUUUAGUUCUAGAGUUUUCCAUUUAGUACUUUUGAAUGUCAGCCAACCAUGGUUCACUGAAACCUCAGAAAGAAAAACUUCAGGUGUGUGGGAGGCUGUUGCACCAUCACCAUAGUUGACAAGUGAGGACCCCAAGUUAAAAGACUUGGUUAUGUUGUCCAGCUGACAUUAGAGCUCAGAUCCAAACCCAUCCUGCUAACGAAGCCAUACACUGAACGCUGUAGGCAAUGACCAGGAAAUGGGCAAUUGCCACCAUGAGCCAACAAGGACAAAGGCCUCAGUUUCUGGGGGUAAAAGGCUGGAUUUGGAGCUGACGGCAUAGUCUCUAUCAGCCCUCCCUAAAACAAACUACAGUCUGAAUUGGAAACAUCUGCUCUGCUGAUUUGGCUGAUUCAUUCAACUUGUGGCCUUUCCCAGAAGCACCAUGGGAAUUCUUUAGUCUCUGUGGUCCUGCAGUUUGAGCUGCACAUACUCGUGGAGCGAUGGCCUGGUCAUGUGACCACCCACAAGUUUGUUUUAAUGUCAGUAUUUUAGGUGAGGCUACCAGGUUGUGCAGGUAUCAAGUGUGAACUUUAGGCUUCCCUUGUUCAGCCCCAGGACACAUGACAACAAACAUCACAAAUAUGGGGUUGAAAAGCAUCACUUUCCCUCUCAUAGUAUCCUGGAAGCCAAGCACAGCAGCUUUGUGGGUGUCAAGGAGGAACCCCAUUCCCUUAAGUGUGUUUCCUGUUGGCUGCUCAUGCUCCUUCCCCCUUUCCCAGGGUUCCCUCCAGCAGCAGUGGGUGAGUUUCUCCCAUGUUCUGUGCCCCGCUACACUUUUAUCUUCAGUGUCUCAGGACUGUAGCUAGAAAGGCUCUCUGCCUUUAAGGGCUCAUGUGACCAUGUUAGGCUCAUCCAUGUAAUCGAGGCUCUCCUCCCUAUUUUAAAUUCUGUCAUCUCAACUCCAUUCACAAAACUCCUUUUGCCAUGAGACAUCACAUAUUCACAGGUCUUGGGGACCGUGGUGGGGACAUCAGUGGGGAGGUAUUCUGCCUACAGAGGGUUAGGGGAAGAGUUUACGGAUCCUGGUGACAGAUGAUAACAUAAUGAAUCUGUUAUUUCUAAACGCAUCAAGACCUGUAAAAUCUCCCCGUUCUCCUGAGAGUCUUCCUCUAAAUAGAUCCCAACUAUGUGAGGAGAGGCGUGGUAGGAAUGUGUUUGAGGGGAGAGAGUGUAGGGUGGGGCCGUAACUGAUUUCCGCUGUCUUCUCUUUUGGAUCGGACUUACUCGGUGGCAAGUUUCUUUUGCUUAAAGCACUGUUUGACAAAUGUCACCUUCUCCAUGGAGACCACCCGUUUCUCAUCAUCACCAGCUGCCCCUCCUCCAACCGCCCACUCCCACUGCUAUUUGGAGUUGAAAGCUGUUCACUUUCAUAAAAUCCUCACCCUUGAGGUGUGUGUGGGUGCUGCUUAAUUCUCUCAUUGGAUACUGAUUUUAUUUAGAAAUCACUUAAAGGAGUCGUUAAAAAUGAAAAUUCCUGGGCAGUUUCUGGGAAACUGGAAAUGUUGCUUAGAUAUCUGGGUGUCGUGGCAGCAGAUACCUCUCUCUACUCUCAACAUUUGGGAGGUGGAGGCAGAAGGAUCAAGCGUUAUCCUUAGUGGGGUCAAGGCCAGCCUGAGUAGCUGAGUGAGAUUUUGUCUCAAAAAGCAAACAAAACAGCAACCAAUGAAAACAACAGAAAGAAAGAGAAGAAAGAAACAUUGCCUAGAAGAGGGUCUAGCUCCUUAUUCCCAACAAGCUAUGGGGCCCAAAUGCAGAUCUUAGCAUCUUCAGUGUCCAGAGGCCUCUGAUGAGAUACUGGAUUUGAAACGUCGCCACCCCAUGGUAGGAGAAGGAACUGCACCUCUGGUGUCACUGGACUGAGUUCCUGAGAGCUUAGCUCCUGUGCUCACAUUUCUUGUGUACAGUGCAUGCUAUUCAGGGCACUGGGGCUCCCAAAUAUGUAUCCUUCAAAAUUUGGUUAAAAGAAGGAAAAGUUAGGAAGACUCUCAGAGGUCUAGUAGUAGAAGUAUCGUUCAUGGAUGAGCAAUGCCCCUGGGCAAGCAAGCAGUCAUUAACACAGGAAGAGGGAACAGGAAAGAGACAUACAUUGGGUCCCAUAGUUUGAGUAGCUGAUCGAGGCACCCAGGCUGACACCUCUGCAGAGCCUCCAUUGUCUGGGGCUGAUUGGCAGGUGAGCCACCCUUCUGGUUGCCACUUGAACCCUGGGGCCUCAUCACCUCCCGACUGUGAAGCCCUAGUCCCCAUCUGCUUCCUUGGGAGUGUGGGUCAUAUUCACUCUUCCUUUUCCCUCAGUAACUGCCGGCUUCAUCCAGCCCCACCCCUGAACAAAAGCCCUGAUCCCCAGAGGCCCAGCCUCAGUGGGACCAGUUGAAUCUUUUAUCUUCAGUUUUGGAAAGUCAGGUCCUGAGUCCUAUUGUAUGUGACAUCCUUUCCAGCUACUUAAAAUGUCUGGAUUAGAUCUCCUGUUUUAUCAGUCUGCUGCAAACAGUGAAGCCUGGCCAGAGGCAAACUCUUUGCCACAGGCACUUCCUGCCCAGAGAAAUUGUUCUGGAAAUUUCCUGAAUGAAGCACCCAGUCUCCAAAAGAGGACCUGGUUUUUAAGAGUCUUCUAGGAGAUGCAAAUUCAGGCGGCAAUGUCUCCAAGAACAGAAUGGACCCCUUGACUUUUCCCUGCUUGGAAGUCAGAUGAAGUCUCCCUUAUGACUGCAGAUCUUUCUCCUAGGCCCACUCUUAGUUCCUACAGAACUUUCUUUAGGCCCAGGCAUGUGGCCGGCCAUCUGGUGACACCAUGGGGCUGUGGAUCUUCAAGGUCACCUAGACACUACAUCUUACAAAAUUAGCAUCAUCUGGGAAUGGUGCUCUUUGCUUCGCCCCUCAACCAUCAAGAGGAAGGCAUUCCACACAGGCCUCUGCUGUGACAGGAUGCUCUGGGACCCCUCAGAGCCUGCUGAUGCACAGUCAUUUUCUUUUAAGAUUUAUUUUAUGAGUGUGAUUUAAAAAAAAAAAAAUUGUGUCUGCUUGCACGUAUGUUCCUCCUUGGUACUCUCGGAGACCAGAAGAGGAAGUCAGAUCCCUUGGAACUGGUGGCUUUGAGCUGCCAUAUGGGUGCUGGGAUUAAACCUGGAUCGUCUGAAAGAACGGCCAGUUCUCCUAACCACUAAGCCAUCUCUCCAGCCCUGUAUGCAUGUAUAUAUUUGUGUGCAUGUGUAAGUGGACAUGUGUGUACAGUGCCGGCAGGGGCCAGAAGAGGGCACCAGAUCCCUCAGAGCUGGGCUUAGGGUUGGUUGUGAGCCACCAUUGUAAGCACCUGGAAACCAGCUGGGGUCCUCUCUAAGAGCAAGUGCUCUUAACCAGGGAGCCAUCUCUCCAACCUCUCCAUUUGCUUUCAGCAGCAGUAGUGUGUGUGUGUGUGUGUGUGUGUGUGUGUGUGUGUGUGUGUGUGUGUGUGUGUGUGUGUGUUGCAGUCUUUACAUAAUUUCUGAUUUAUUUUUUCCCCCUUUUUGGUGGAGAAUCCAUAAAGACAUUGGCUUUAGCGGUCCCCUAGCUCUCAGCGAUCUCUCAUCCAGACAGGAUGCAGUCUCCUCUUUGAACCUGGCUUUGCCAAGCAGAGUUACCCUCCUUCAGGAAUGGCAUGCAUGCUUGGAAUGUGAUUUUAUCUUAUCGGCCUCCUCCCCAGCUGCCAAGGUCCUAGCCAGGCUCCAUGGAGGGUUCCAGAAACUUUUUCUCUUUAAAGCCACUUGCCAGGAGCCUGCCCACUGCUCUUCUAGUUUCAACCUGUUGCUUCUGGGUCCCUCCUCUCCCAAUGACCUCUGGCCUCCUGCAAUGCUGAAUGCCUUGCGGGCGGGAGUGGGGGCUAUGGGGGAGAGGAUAAAAAUCAAAGUGAUUCUAGAAACUUCAUUGUGUACUUUGAUGUUUUGAAAAUUCCGUGGUGGAAGAAUAUGGAGUUCAGCUUUUAAUUAAUGAAAGCCCACCCCGGGGGACCAAACUAUGGGAUUAAGUCAAUAAUAAGUUCCAAAUCCAGGAAGCAGAUGUUCUGAGGUGCGUUUAUUUAUUCAGCAUGGACACGUGUGGUGCCGUGAUCUGGCUGCCUAAGUGCUCUUACAAGACCGGAAAUCCUUCCCAAGGAAUUUUAUACACGAGAAGCCCCUUUCCUGCCUCCUAGUUUCCAAGACUAUGCUUUGAAACUUAACACCUGGCUGGCUCGGUUCCCUCUGCAACUCAAGGUCUCCAUCAUCUGACCUUGAGCCCAUGACCUACUUGUUAGGGGAGCCUCCCUGACAGUAGGGAAGGUGAUAAAUUACCCCACAUAUAUUUGCCUUACAGACUAUUGUGUUGUCUUUAAGAAGAACGGUGCUUUAUUCUAAGAAAAUGACCGAGCACUGCGGUACCGUUCCACCGUGAACUAGCCCCAGUUGAAAAAUCUUUGUUCAAUGUGACAGCUGGAAAUGCAGACUACUCCCUUUCUGAGAUAGAAUGUGUGGGUAGUCCUGGCACUAACGUUUCAAUCAAGAGAGAUCGAAGGACUUGUGUGAUGGAGGCAUUCUAGGGGGUCGUGUAGCCCACAAUGGACCCCUUAAACUGCCUUUUACACUAAGGUAGGUGCUGGCUUCUUGCAGAAAGUGAUCAGUUCUCUGGUUAUGGCAGGGAUGUCACCUGACCCCACAAAGCUAGAGAACUGGAGACUUUCUUCUAAAUAUUGGGGACUACACACAAGACGUUAAUUUCUCCCAUGGGCUGGGAUCAUAACAUGUAAACCUGGGAUCUGGCAUUGGCCACUUCUUAUUCCAUUUUAUAUAUUUAUUUAUACUUUGUAUUCUUUUCAGUAUUAGGGAGUGAACCUAGGGCAUGAAGAAUCUGAGGCAAGCUCCUUAUUGCUGAGCUAGGUCCCCACCUCUCUGUCUUAGUUAGGUUUCCUAUUUCUGUGACCAAAAGCAGCAUGGAAAAGGUUUACUCCAGCUCACAGUUUGUAGUUCAUCCAGGGAAAUGGGGCAGUAUCUCAAAGCAGGAACCUGGAAGCAGGAGCUGAAGCAGAGGCCAUGGAAGAAUGCUGCUUACUGGCUUGCUCCUGGUGGCUUGCUCAACCUGCUUAUAGAACUCAGGACCACCUGCCCUGGGACUGGCACCACCCACAGUGAGCUGGGCCCUCCCACUUCAGUUGUCAAUCAUAAAAUACAUCACAGGCUUGCCAAUAGGCUAAUGUGGUAGGGGCAUUUCUUAGUGUCUCUUCCCUCUUCCAAAAUGACUCUAGCUUGUGUCAUGUUGACAUAACACUAGCUAACACACUUUUUUUUCCUUUUUUUUUUAAAUCUUAAGAUGAGGCCUUCAGAAGCUGUCCAGGCAGGCCUUUAACUCACUUAAACCUGGGCUGGUUUUGAAUUUAAUAAUCCCCUCCUAUCUCAACUUCCCAGUUGCUGGGGUGACAGGGCUGCAUCAUCAGGCUGGCUGGCAGCCAAUUCCAUACACCAGAUAGAUGGUGGAACAGAAGGAGUCUGUCUGGAAGGAGUCUCAAGAAAAAGGAAUUCAAAAUGGAGGCACUUUGGUUCGGGCAAUUCAACAGGUGUCUGGAGGCCAUUGGGCACACCCACCCAGAAGCAAGCUCACCCUGGAAGUACUGCUGACAUCCCCUAGCCCCCUCCCACAGCACUCCCACCCACCAAGUGAGCCAGAGGCUAAGCUAUCCCCAAGCUCUUCUUAACAGCUUAACUUUAAAUUCCUGACUAAUGGAUGAUGUCAUUGCCAGCCCCUUGAGGCUCAAAGCUAAACACAGAGCAUGUUUUUCUAGGCAGCUGGAGCCUGUGUUUUCCUAGACUGCAACCCUAAUUAGCCCCAAACAAAUGCAAUGCUCUUUGUGUUCCAGUGGGCUGAAUUUUCCCUUUUCUGAAUCUGCUUUGGGUGUCAAGUCUAACAAGACAACUUGGACCAGCCCUCUCCUCUCCUUCCUUCAUCUGAAAGAUUUCUGUUUUAGAUUCAAGUCUGUGAUGCAGUGUGAGGCAUGGCUCUGAGUCCAUUUGAUUUGACUUCUUUGUUUAUUUUUUUAUUUUUUUUUUUUUUUUGUCCAUAGCUGCUCAAGGUUGCUUUGUGCUGACUUUUGAUAGUCAAUCCCGCCUGCUCUGUGAUUCAUUUCAUUUUUGUAUUUUGCUUCCCUGGGAGCCUCAGGCUAGCCUGAGGGUUUGACUGAACAGAGAGAAAGCAUUUUUUGGAUCAUGUAACUCAGUACAGCAUUCCCACUGAACUUCCUGCCUAGCUUCACUCGCAGGGUUGAGAGAAUAAAUUGAAGGUAUGUUUGAGAAAGCAGUUUACAGUUGCAAGUCCACAGAGCAGAUGUGCAAGCUAUGUUUGCAUGUGUCGCGUGUUGGACAGUUUGGGACAAGUCCGACAUCCAGAGAGUAUAGCCUUUGCAACUGUAGCAUAUUUUCUGUUGAGGUGUUUUCUGGCACAGGCUGCUCCCCCCACAAAAAUACUGAUCUGGCUAGUCAUGUAUCCCUUAUCAGCCAAUAUUUUAUUUAUGUUCAAAGGGGCAAGUAACAAAGUAAAAAUAAGGAUAUUAAAUUUUAUUUUUUCUUUAUUUUUAUUUUGAGACACGGAGUCUCACUAUGCGUCCUGGCUGGCAUGGAACUCACUAUAUAGAUUUGAUUGGCCUUGAUUUAAGAGAAAUCCACGUGCCUCUGCCUCCCAAAUGCUCAGAUUAAAGGCGUGCACCACCAUGCCCAGGUAGUAAAUUUCUUUAUGAUACAUUAUUAGUAAUCGUAUGAUCUGUGUGACUAUGCAAGUAUAUCUAACUAUCUGGGGUCACACAAAAAUUUCCUGGGUUGAGAGUGGUUUGGGAAGGGUGAUGAGUAGAAACAGAAGCCUGAUGAAGCUUGCUGUGGGUUGUUUAACAAUGCAUAAUUACUGUGGAUCCCAGGAGCUCUGGCAAGUCUUGAACCAGAAGUAAUGUACACCAGAUCGCUCUGACUUUCUCCAGGACACUUGCACAGUCACAGUGUGCUCUCCAGAACUCACAAGCCUCCUAGUUCAUGUGUGCUCAGUACCAUUCCAAAAGACCAGCAGCAGCCAUGUCCAAACGGCACAAGUAACAGAAUCCAGCAAUUAAGGAAGUUGCUGCAGAGGUCCUGAGGUCACAUAUGACCCCCUCCUCCAGGGCCAGCAGGGACGAGAUAGGGGGAUGGGGAGACAUCAAGUAACUCUCUUGGGAAGUCUGCUUGGGCUCCAGAGAUAGGUGCCGGGCGCCCCUGGGCCUGGAGGACACUUACUGUGAACAUAUGAGAGUUCAUAUCAUCAAUGGUGACAAUGUUAGUAUUAAUAAAGGUGGGCUUCCUGCCUCCCCCUCCCCCUGCCCCCCACCAUGAGCAAUCAAAAGUUCAGAAGUGGCUCCCAACAGCUUUCCAUCCUCACUGAAUAGUAGCUGCCCUGCCACGAUGAAGCAUGACAGUUUGAGGUCUCUCCUUCUUUUUGUUAAUUGGUACCAUUUCAUAAAGACAGCCUGCCUCUCCAUCCUCUUUCUAAGGUAUUAUUUUAGAUCUGUGCAUACAUUCAAAUUGUGCCACAUUUAGCCGGCAGGAGCACUCUCUUGUCAGCCAUUCUUGCAUGCUUCUACAUUGUCUUUGGGCACAUCCUUAUUCUGAGAUUGGAAGACACUCGAGCUGACUUUGUCCCAUCUCUCACGGUGGUCUGGACCUGUCACUUCUCUCUUGGUAGAGACUGGUGUUUAGAACUCAAACUCGGGGUUCUCAUUACUGUCUGGUGCCACUAGGGAGACAAGAAAUACAUUUUUUAAAGUCAUGUAUCUACCUGGUGAAGCCUUUACCUUCAAUCCAGUGUCUGUUGGGUCACCCUCAGAUCCCCACAGCCCUGUAAGUUCACUUCUCCUUUCCCAUACAGACAUUUCCCAACACCUAUACAUGUACGCAGUCAUCCAUUCUUACAACUGGCAAACUAUUUUUGUAAGGGCCACCCCACUGCUGCUUCUGAAAAGAAAGACAUCAAGCAAUACUCAGCGUGUCUUUGCAGCUCCCUUGUCUUAAGAUGUCUCUCUCUGGGAAGAGUCCAGAGAAAACCCCCAAAGCCCAAUGAAUUGCAGUAUGCCUGUGGGGUGAUAUCAAUAUGAUAGACGGCUUCCUCCCCCCGCAUCUGCUUCUGAUCAAAAGCUAAUAAAUAACAAAUAAAUCAAAGUGGAAGAGAGUGUCUUUGCAGAAAGCACUUGGGGACUAUCUCCCAGGGCAUUAGAAUGGAGAUUUUAACUUCAGUUGAAGAGAUGGAUGUGAUGAAAACUGGGCCAGACUUCCAGAGGGUAGAUCUGGGCUGUCCAGCACAGUGACAGUGUGGUCCAAGUACCAGUGGGUCCACAAAGCCCUUCACUUUGACAAAGCUGGGCCAUAAAGCUGCAGGGAGUGGCCCAGCUGAGAAGUUCACUGGCAGUUUGACGGGUGCUUCAGGACUGUGGGCUGCUGUGUCUGAAGUACCAUAACCUCAAGAGGCUGGCUGCUGUCACAAAGAGGGGGGCCUGCAAUGGGACUUGAGAACAUCACAGGGACAGGAAAUCGCCUGCCUCAGGGACCUUCCUGCAUGUCCUAGACACCUAUCUAGUCACUUGAAGAUUUUCCCUCUGGCUGCUCCUGCUGCCCUUCUGCUGCCCUACUGCUGGUGAGGGGACUUCCUCCCUGCUUGAGUACCUAGUUAGGAGGCAACCCAACAUUCGUUCUCAGACCCUGAGAGUUCCCAGCAAAAGACUGGAAGAAAGACCUCCCGGCUCUCCAAACCAUGAAGAGCAUAACCAGGGCGAGGUCUGCCUGGGGCCGGGCUGAUGGAGCUGUUUGUUGAUGUCAAAAGCAGAAAAAGACAGGCUGUGCCCAAAACUGGGACUUUGGCUGUGCCUGCAAAUAAAUUGAGAACAUUUGGUUAUUUUAUAUGCUCUUUUCUUGUGUAUUGGGUUUUUUUUUUUUCUUUAAUACAUUUGGUGCUGGCAAGAUGAAAGGUAAAGUCACUUGUGACCAAACCUGACAACCUGAGUUUGAUCCCUGGAACCCACAUGCUGAAAGGAGAG
rnacentral:lncRNA from 1 species